rnacentral:rRNA from 1 species
UAUAAUUGAAGUCUAGAAUGAAGGAAAAGACGGGUGAUUGCUGUCCCUAAAAAGUGUAAGAAGUUACUUAAUAAGUGCAAAUACUUAUAGGUAAAUAAUAGACGAGAAGACCCUAGAAAUUUUUUAAAAAGUAAGUUAACCUAACUAAUAUUUUGUUGGGGCGACAGAAUAACAGUUAACUUAUUCUAAUAAUAUGGACUACGUAAAGAGAAAAAUUAAAUUACUCUAGGGAUAACAGCAUAAUUUAUAUAAGUUUGUGACCUCGAUGUUGGACUAGGGAACUUAAUAUUUAAAAAACGUUAAGGAAGGCUCUGUUCGAGCAACUCUCACCCUACAUGAUCUGAGUUCAAACCGGA